UUGAGUGCCCUGGAGGCUGAAGUCCUCUAUUUAUCCACAGAACAGAUUUGGCUUGGGCAGUGGCAGUGCAAGCUUCCCCACCAAUGUGCCUCAACCCUGACCUGGAGGAACCACCUCUAGAGGUGAGAGGGUAGUUCAGUCUCCAGAACCAUUCAGUCCUUGGCUUUG
rfam:Pelodiscus sinensis unplaced genomic scaffold scaffold99, whole genome shotgun sequence.